rnacentral:rRNA from 1 species
AGGGUUUGAUUCUGGCUCAGGAUGAACGCUGGCGGCGUGCUUAACACAUGCAAGUCGAACGAAGCGCUGUAACAGAAUUCUACGGAAGGAAGAUACAGGGACUGAGUGGCGGACGGGUGAGUAACGCGUGGGUAACCUGCCUUACACAGGGGGAUAACAGUUAGAAAUGACUGCUAAUACCGCAUAAGACCACAGCCUCGCAUGGGGCAGGGAAAAAACGAUAGUGGUGUAAGAUGGGCCCGCGUCUGAUUAGGUAGUUGGAGAGGUAAAGGCUCCCCAAGCCGACGAUCAGUAGCCGACCUGAGAGGGUGACCGGCCACAUUGGGACUGAGACACGGCCCAA